rnacentral:lncRNA from 1 species
CAAAACACAUAGUUCCUAAAGUAAAAUUUCCAUCAAUCUACUGCAUUGAACGUGAAAGAGAGUCAAAACACUCAUACCAUCAUAUUAAAGAUUAAAACAAAUGUGAAGCUAAUACCGGAUCAACUUUAGUUAUGCACAGUGAUACUAUAGCACAUCUUGUUCUUUAUUUUUAACACAUCUUGGCCUCUUUCUAAAAAAAUUAACAGAGAACAAAUUAUAUUCUAAAAUGUAUUCUUCAAAAGAAAACACAUCACCAACAAAAAAAUAAUUUCUUCUAAUUAAAAUACAAUAGUUCAAAAUAAUGAAAGAGAAGAUGAUUUACCAAUUGAUCAGAUCAAAGUUCUUGCGAGAAUAGAAACGAGGAAAGGAGAGUGACGACUUUAUACAAACGUGGCGGCGACGGGUUAAGCGAAUAGAGGGUGCACGACGCGACGUUUAGAUUCGCAGCGGCGUCGGCGUUGAUGGCGGAGAAUGACGCGGCAGAGGGUUUGGAAGAGUGUGAUACAUUUUCACGCGGUGGUCGGAGAUUGGCUUUUGGAUGGGGUGUCGUCGGAGUGCGUCGCGGACGGAGGGAUUGCUUUGUGAGGAGGUUUAUGUGUUUGAAGAACAACAUUGGGGUUGGAUGAAGUUCGCCGGUAAUGGAGGUUUUGUUUUGGAGUUUGUGAAGAUGAGAGGUUCGUAACGGCGGUGACGGAGGUUGUUGUUGGACGAAAAACACGGCUGAAGGAAGAAGGCGGUGAGCGUCGUUGGAAGUGAGGUCGGAGUGGUUGAUGCGGUGGUGGAGAACCGACAGCGGCGCGGUCGGCUAUGGUGGUUUAUGAGGAAGGAGAAGUCCUUUUCUUUUCCCUUUUUCCUUUUCACAGAGAGAGCGAGUGGUAGGUGCUAGAGAGAGAACCGUUUCCUUUUAUUUAUUUAUUUUUUUACCGUUGGAAGAAA